rnacentral:pre_miRNA from 1 species
AGGAGGAACAGCCCCAGUGGCGGGGCAGCUCUGGACACCUGGAUUCAGCCCCCGCAGGAACCAUGGAGCUCUCGGUCUGCAGGGCCUGGAGGCUCCGGGGCGGG